rnacentral:misc_RNA from 1 species
AACCAUAGAAACCUGCGGAGUACCUGCGGAGGGAUCAUUACAGAGUUGCAAAACUCCCUAAACCAUUGUGAACGCUACCUAAACCGUUGCUUCGGCGGGCGGCCCGGGUCCUUCCCGGCGCCCCUCGGCCCUCGCGGGCGCCCGCCGGAGGUAAACCAAACUAUUGCAUUGUAUGGCCUCUCUGAGUCUUCUGUACUGAAUAAGUCAAAACUUUCAACAACGGAUCUCAGAUCGGAAGAG